UGCUAAGUGUUGGAGGGUUUCCGCCCUUCAGUGCUGCAGCUAACGCAUUAAGCACUCCGCCUGGGGAGUACGACCGCAAGGUUGAAACUCAAAGGAAUUGACGGGGGCCCGCACAAGCGGUGGAGCAUGUGGUUUAAUUCGAAGCAACGCGAAGAACCUUACCAGGUCUUGACAUCCUUUGACCACUCUAGAGAUAGAGCUUCCCCUUCGGGGGCAAAGUGACAGGUGGUGCAUGGUUGUCGUCAGCUCGUGUCGUGAGAUGUUGGGUUAAGUCCCGCAACGAGCGCAACCCUUAUUGUUAGUUGCCAUCAUUUAGUUGGGCACUCUAGCAAGACUGCCGGUGACAAACCGGAGGAAGGUGGGGAUGACGUCAAAUCAUCAUGCCCCUUAUGACCUGGGCUACACACGUGCUACAAUGGGAAGUACAACGAGUCGCAAAGUCGCGAGGCUAAGCUAAUCUCUUAAAGCUUCUCUCAGUUCGGAUUGUAGGCUGCAACUCGCCUACAUGAAGCCGGAAUCGCUAGUAAUCGCGGAUCAGCACGCCGCGGUGAAUACGUUCCCGGGCCUUGUACACACCGCCCGUCACACCACGAGAGUUUGUAACACCCGAAGUCGGUGAGGUAACCUUUUGGAGCCAGCCGCCUAAGGUGGGAUAGAUGAUUGGGGUGAAGUCGUAACAAGGUUUACCCGUAAGCGUGAGUAUGUAAAAAA
rnacentral:rRNA from 1 species